rnacentral:rRNA from 1 species
UACAGAGGUCUCAAGCGUUGUUCGGAUUCAUUGGGCGUAAAGGGUGCGUAGGUGGCGCGCUAAGUCAGGUGUGAAAUUUCGGGGCUCAACCCCCGAAACUGCAUUUGAUACUGGCGUGCUUGAGGACUGGAGAGGAGACUGGAAUUCACGGUGUAGCAGUGAAAUGCGUAGAUAUCGUGAGGAAGACCAGUGGCGAAGGCGGGUCUCUGGACAGUUCCUGACACUGAGGCACGAAGGCCAGGGGAGCAAACGGGG